CUUUGGGAAUGAUAGAGAUUCGAUGAUUAGGUCAACCUUAAUUGAGAGGAAUUGACUUACGCUUAAAUUUCGGGACGAAAUUUCUUUAAGGAGGGUAGAUUGUAAUACCCCGAAAAAUCCAAAUUAAAUUCCGUGGAUUUUUAGAAAUGAUUUCACGAUAGUGGGAGCGAGUACGAGGCUCGGAGAAGUUGUGGAAUUAGUUCGAACGAUUAAUUUUCGAAAAAACGAACGUUAUUUAGGGGCUCGCGAAAGUUGACUUUUUAUACGUUCAAAAUUUGGGAAAACUUUCUUCAUGAAAGUUGUAGAGCUCGUCGAUACGAUCGCGUGCAUAUGCGGAACGCAAAAAUCGGAGUUCGUAUGAAUUAGUUAUGAUUUUUUGAAAAAGUUUCCAAUUUAGUAUAAAGCUUCCAUUUUUGGAAAUUUCCAAAAAUAAAAACAGAUUUUUCCAAAAUUGGAAAAUCUGCUGCGAUUUUAGUUCCCCGCCGGAAAUCGCCUCCAAAACUUCGAUCGACGAUUUCUUCCUCCUCCGGCCACCGAUCCUCACCAAACUUCUUCCAUUGGCUUCGUAUGGUCCUUGCGCACCUGUCUGUGGCAGCCUUUCACGGCGGCGCGGCCUGUAGCGGCGGCGGCAAGCCCGGUCCGAUUUAAGCUCGAUUUUGGUCAACGCCGGUUUUCUCCUAGCUCCGGCCACCAAAACUUCCGAUCCUUGGCUUCAUGAACUCCCCUCAACCUGCUGAUCAUCAUACUAGGAGGAUUGCACCUAGAGUGACCGGUUUCACGUUCGUCGGAGCUCGUGGGUUCCCCUUGAUGUUAUUAACAACUCUCUAGAAGGCAUCGAGGCCUGAAAUUGAAGCUUUGACGUCGAAAUCGAGCCUUGCCGGAUUCUGCAAAAUUCUGGAAUUUUUCCGACCACCGAAGCUUUCGAUCGGUAUAUCUCGAGCUACAGACCAUAUUUUUCUGUGAUUCUUGAACCAGUGAGUUCUUCUUGAGUUUCUUAACAACUCUUCAGAAGGAAUCGAAGCCUUAAAUUGACGUUUUUACGUCGAAUUGGAGCUCGCCGUUUUCUGCAGUUUCUCGCCGGUUUCUGGAAAAUUCCGGCCACCUUCAUACUGUUCAAGGUGAUUGACGGUUUAAGUUGGUGGACGAUUGUGGAUCGUAUUCUGAGCUGUUGAGAAGACGCAGCGGGAUUAGAGCGGGUAAUCCUACAGGACAGGAGAACCAGGACGGUGAUCGUGCGGUUAGAGCAAUUGUUAGAGUUUUACAGCAAUUGUACGUUGUGAGGUGUGUUAUGCUCAUUUGAGCUUUACAAUAUUGCUUGUGAGAGUGAAUUGUAAUAAUGAACUCGAAGUUUCGAGAUUUGGAUUUUGUAAUUGUAAUUAUUCAUGUUUCGGAUUUGAAUUUAUUAUUCAAAAUUCGGGGCGUGAC